rnacentral:rRNA from 1 species
AUUUAGUAGCGAAGUAGCUGAUUUCACACUGUCAAGAAAAGUCUCUAUCGAGGUUAAAGGUACCCGUACCGCAAACCGACACAGGUGGGUGAGGAGAGUAUCCUAAGGCCAGCGAGAGAACUGUUGUGAAGGAACUCGGCAAAAUGACCCCGUAACUUAGGGAUAAGGGGUGCCACCAUCAGGUGGCCGCAGAGAAUAGGCCCAAGCG